rnacentral:rRNA from 1 species
AGCUUAUUGAUUUUUAAUAAUAGGUUUUUUCUGCCCGGUGAAUAUUAAACGGCCGCGGUAUUUUGACCGUGCAAAGGUAGCAUAAUAACUUGUUCUUUAAUUGGGGACUAGAAUGAAGGAAAGUUUGAGAUUUUUUUUGUCUUAGAGUGUUUAUUAGAAUUUGCUGUUUUUGUGAAGAAGCAAAGGUGAAAAAAAAAGACAAGAAGACCCCGUUAAGCUUUAUCUUUCUGGGUUUUUGUUUAGGGUAGCCAUAUUUAAUUAUUUAUCCUUAAGGAUUUGGUUGGGGCGACUAAAAAGGAUUAGAUCCUCUUUUGUGUCUAAAACUUAAAGUUUAAUAAUGAUCCAAAAUUUUUUGAUUGUUUGAAUCAGUUACUACGGGGAUAACAGCGUAAUUUUUUCGGAGAGUUCUUAUUGAUGAAAAAGUUUGCGACCUCGAUGUUGACUUACUAUUUCCUAUAAAGGUGCAGGUGUUGUAAGGGUUGAUCUGUUCGAUCAUUAAAAUAGU